AUUGAACGCUGGCAGCAUGCCUUACACAUGCAAGUCGAACGGCAGCACGGGUGCUUGCCCCUGGUGGCGAGUGGCGAACGGGUGAGUAAUACAUCGGAACAUGUCCUGUAGUGGGGGAUAGCCCGGCGAAAGCCGGAUUAAUACCGCAUACGAUCUACGGAUGAAAGCGGGGGACCUUCGGGCCUCGCGCUAUAGGGUUGGCCGAUGGCUGAUUAGCUAGUUGGUGGGGUAAAGGCCUACCAAGGCGACGAUCAGUAGCUGGUCUGAGAGGACGACCAGCCACACUGGGACUGAGACACGGCCCAGACUCCUACGGGAGGCAGCAGUGGGGAAUUUUGGACAAUGGGCGAAAGCCUGAUCCAGCAAUGCCGCGUGUGUGAAGAAGGCCUUCGGGUUGUAAAGCACUUUUGUCCGGAAAGAAAUCCUUGGCCCUAAUACGGUCGGGGGAUGACGGUACCGGAAGAAUAAGCACCGGCUAACUACGUG
rnacentral:rRNA from 1 species